UUUUGCUCGGCGGCGCGGCAGACAGACGUGUACACGUGUGCCUGGCCGUUUUUCGAUCUGCGAAAUGCGCCAGCAGCUACAGUCCGUGUACAGCCCUGCAGCCUUGUACCACUGCAGGUAGUAAAGCUGGAGAGCCACUGUUUGGCAACCAGGUCCAGGCAGGCUUGGAGCUGACAGCAUCUCAUUCUGUGGCUUCCUGCCCAGGGGCUCCUCGGAUGCCGGAGUGCCCAGACUCUGCUUUCAGAGGGGCCCAGCCUAAAACAACCCGUUAUAAGAUGAUCUUACUUUCUUGGAAAUGCUGCAUUACAAAAAAAUGGGAAGAAGAAUCAAAAGGAGCGAGAAACAUGAUCGUCUAUGGAGAACCUUCCUUGGAGAAGGGUAGACUCUUGCCUGUUACGCAUUCGUCUGUGUGAGGGGAACGGAGUGAGGGUAGAGGAAGCAGGAUGCUGAGGGAGCUGGAGCAGCUUUGUUGUCUAGGAUGACCCCGUUGCACACCUGAGUUGGCUGCUUACUACUGACUCUCUGAUCCUGGCAGAUGUCCGCCUCUGAACCUGUUUCCUCACCUGUAACACAGAGGCAGUAAAUGCCAACUCAUACGGUGAGACACAGAGACCAUGUCAGCUGAGUGCCGAGCCCGGUGCCCAGGCCCUGGUGUGCGUCAGUAAAUGCUGUCUUGGUGGAACAGCCCUGUGUAAUCAGCUUGGGACUGUCCGGGACCAAGUUUCUCCUGCUGCUUCCUGUGUGCUUACUUCCCUUCCACAGUAAAAUGGUGAGCCUCUCAAAGGCAGUGAUAGAAGUCUGUGAUCAAUAGACACAUUAUCCCUUUCAAAUAAACGACUCCAGCGUUACUGCCCAGACCAGCAGAGGCCUCAGCCCCUAGGGAUUGCUUGCUUCCCAUAGCAGGUCGGUGCCCAGGAAGCCACUCUGAGACAGUUAUGUAUGCAGGAAGUUUAUUGGGGUGGGUUCUUGGGGUCAACACUGUGAUGGAAGGGAAGGAAGCAGGAUGAGGCAGAUGUGGGCUGCGAUGCAGUCACAAGGCCUCAACUGACCCUGUGGGGAGCACUGGAGCUAGAGUGGCCCUUCAGGGUUGUCCUCAGGCUUUAAAUCCCUGCCCUGUCCAGUCAUUGGAUGUGGCUGCCCUGAGAAGGAGGCACUGCCAGCCCGCACAUUCCCGGCCACGGGGAAAGAAGUGAAGUGGGGGCUCUGAGUGGAGCAGCGCCCACCACACCUUCAGUUCUAAUGGGUGGCUCUGGAGGAUGUGGCAGUUACUGCUAGCUCUCCACCCAGUGUCCACUCACCCCUUCUUCCUUAUUAAGAGGUGCCUGAUUGUUUGAGACAGCAGUGUGCCCAAUAAAAAUACUCACUUUCCUAGACUCCUUUGCAGUGGAGGUGGGCCAGCGACCGCACUGUGGCUAGUAAGAUGUAAAUAGCAGUCUGGGCUCCUGAUGACGUGGUGGAGCCGUUAGAGAAAAUGAAAGGCUGUAUCUGCUUAACCUCUGUGAUCAGGUUUCUGUUGUAUGUAACCAAACAGUUCUAAAUGGUUCACAGAGGCAUUAUCAUAUCCUGUCUUAAGAACAGGGUCCUUCAAGUUAAAUGAACGACACCUCUGGGUCCCAGCUCUGUGCAUACCAGCUAGCUCUGUGGAACCUCGGAGGAGUCACUCCACCCGGCUUCCUGUUUCUGUAAAAUGGGAACGACAGGACUACCUGGCACAUGUCUCAUGUAACACUAGGGUAGCCAACUUGUCCCAGUUUGCCUGGACUUGCUCAGUUUUAGCACUGAAACCCCAGACAAACAGGGACAGCUGGUCACCCCAUUAAAACACAUCCCCAAACACCCUACCUCCUUUACGGAUGGAAGACGGCCCUGAAGGCUAAAAAUUCUAUUUGAUGCUGCCCC
ensembl:lncRNA